rnacentral:rRNA from 1 species
UACGUAGGGUGCAAGCGUUAAUCGGAAUUACUGGGCGUAAAGCGUGCGCAGGCGGUUGUGCAAGUCAGAUGUGAAAUCCCCGGGCUUAACCUGGGAAUUGCAUUUGUGACUGCACGGCUAGAAUCUGGCAGAGGGGGGUAGAAUUCCACGUGUAGCAGUGAAAUGCGUAGAGAUGUGGAGGAAUACCGAUGGCGAAGGCAGCCCCCUGGGCUAAGAUUGACGCUCAUGCACGAAAGCGUGGGGAGCAAACAGG